rnacentral:lncRNA from 1 species
CUAUUUUGUAUUAUUUUGUGGGGGUAUGGCAUGUGCAGAGUGGAAGUCCGAGGACAACUUUCAGGAGUCGAUUGUCGACUUCCACUUGGGGUUCUGAGGAUUGAACUCAGGUUGUCAGGCUUGUGUAGAAAGCACCUGUACCCAUUGAAUCACCUCGAUGGCCCACACGUCCUGCUUUUUUCCUGGGGGGUUCUGGGGCUCAAACUCCAGGCCUUGUGCUUGAAAAGCCUGGGCUUUACCCCCAGCCCCAGAACCCUGAUAAUGGUUUUGAGACAAGAGUUUGAGGGGCCCAAACUGUCCUCAGAACUCAUGAGUUUUCUUCAGUUUCCUAAGAGAGCUAGAUUUACAGGCAAGCUCCAUCAUUCUUGGCUAUUAAAUUGGUGUUUGGUUUUGUGGUGUUGGAAGUCUGAAUCCAGGACCUUAUUAUACAUGCUAGCUAAGCACACAUCACAGAACUGUGCCCCUUAUCCCUAAUCAGCAACACCUGCAAUAAUGCAGCCAGUCAUCUCCAGACCCUCAGCCACCUCGAAUGGGACCACAAGCCUAAGAAUCUGCUUGUUAGGUGUUUAACCAUAAAUAAACCCAUCUCCAGAAGUUGUUCUCAGAUGUUUGCUUUUGCCCCUACUUCCUUGGAACUUGAUGUGUAGACCAGAUCUGCCUGCCUUUGUCUUGGAAAUUGUGGUUUUAAAAGCAAAUGCCACCCAUGGCUGCUGGUGACAUUUUUGAAAAGCUGUUAUUGUCCGUUGGAGAAGUGUCUAACAAACAAGAUUUGCCACAGUAACAAAAAGGCCGAUGAAAAUUGUUACACUUUGGCUCUUAGAGCUUAGAAGAACAUUGUCUAUUCAGGAACUCCUGACUGUAUGUGUUGGUGGAGGAGGAGGUUUACAGUUUAAUCUACUCAUGAGGUCCAUCUUGUUUGGGAAGAAGAAUGGUUUGUUUACACUCUUGAUUUCCUGACACAAUCCCACUGGUACUGGAUGUCAAAGGUGAGGCUCUCCUGUGAGGUUCCAAGGCAUCUGUAAGGAGAGAGGUUUUGCCAGGACUGUUGGAAACAAAGACAAACUGAACAUUAUUGGAUUGAACUCUAUGUACCAACAUCUGCUGAACACUUUACAUAACUUACUGUUCCAGGGUUUAUUGGUCUUAAAAAUAGGUUAUUUACUGCUCUUGUUUGUUGACAAGGAGACUCAGAAAAGCUGAGUUGCCAUAGUCCUGAACCUGAUGAAACAAAGUAGUAGAUCUACAGGCUACUCCUUUUUAAUAACUUACUACCCAGCAGUAAGUACUUCUGUCCACACUUGUCUUCCUCUGGCAGGCUCUUAAAUGUGAGAUUGAUCCCAAGUUACCCAAGAUUUACAAGGAUUCUUUCUCAAAAUCAUGUGACAAUUAAAAGCUUGGAAGUUCUCUUUCUUGAGGGUAUGCUUUUUAGGGAUUUAAAAUCCCAAACUCAACAGCCAUAGACUCCUGCCUGCCCGAUAACCACGUGGGAGCCUCUUGGGCUUUUUGCUGAGUCAGGAUAGCAGAGAGCUGGUGUUCACAUGGAGAAAUUAGGCAAAAAGAUGUGGUUGAGAGAAAAUGCAAUAAGGAGAGAGUCCCUUUGGAAUGGAAGUCAGAUUUUGAAGCUAGCCAGCCAAGGACUUCAGUUUUGCUGUAGAAAUUAAAACCAUUAGUAACUUAUUUCUAAAAUGACAAAGCACUGUGUAAUCAAGGGUGACUCUGGCUAAAGGUCAUAGUUUUUAGACACAAAGGAAAGUUAUUUGAGGUUAACAUUUUUCAAGCCAAGCAUGAUAUUGCAUACCUGUAAUCCCAGUACUUGUGAAUUAGAGGAGGCAGGAUCAGAAGUUCAAGGCUAGCCUGGGCUAUAUGAGACCCUGAUUCCUCCCCCAAAAAAGUGACAGAAGAAUGAAAUAAGUUACAUUUUAUUUAUUUGUGUGUGUGUAUGCCCACCUGUGCCACAGCUGCACAAAUUGAGGUCAUAGGCCAUCUAUACAAGUGAGUUCUCUUGCCACAUGUGGGUACAUGAAGACUAAACUCAGGUCACCAAGCUUGACAACAAGUGCCCUUACUGGCUGAUGCAUCUG